rnacentral:sRNA from 1 species
GUCUCCUCUUUCCUUUUUGCUCUGUUUGUAAUAUUGAUAUAAGAUAUAAUAUGACUCAAGCAGGCAUUCUUAGUGGAUUCUUAAUAUACUAGAAGAGGACAAGGAAAAUCUUUAAUUGUUCUUUCACUAUAAGGCGACUGUUGAUGACAGGAGCAAAAGGGCUUUAUAAAGACUGUCAUUCUGAUAAGGACUGUGUGCUCAAGUGCUGACCGUGCACUGAGAAAGCUUAGUGCAUUAAGGGCUGACUCUUGGUCAUUGAUCUGCUAUCUAGUUUGUUGGGGUUUCUUGACAUUACGCCUCUGUUGGGUCAUUUGGUUACCAAUAUUUGACUGUUUAGGCAUCGGAUCUGGAGUAACGGAGACAAUUUUGACUGCUUUAAGAGGUGUUGUAAAGCAUUCUGGGAAGAGUGUCAGCCCUGCGACUAGAAUUCGUGUCUUCACGUUCCUUAAGUAUUUAAUUUCUCAUGAUGAUGACCAAGCUUGAAUGUAUGUGUCGAGCAUAUUGACUACUAUGUGUUUUAUCACUGGUACAGUGUAGAUGUUCUUCAGAACCUUUUGGGUAGUUGCCUUUA